GUUUGACUGACCUCUCAGACUGAGGCCCACGUAGGCAAAGCACCCUACUUGGGAACCGCCACUCUGGGGUUGGCAGGUUAAAGAAGGCAGACGCUGCCUCCUUUGUUAGCAGCACUGGCCUUACCACAUGGUCACUAUGCCCUUCUGAGCAAGGAGCUUCAUCUCUGAGAACCUUGGUUUCCCUAUUGCUAUUUCAGGAGCCAGUGGACCACCAUGACACCUGAAGUUCUAACAGCACCUGCCAUGUACGUGGGAGCCAGGACCCACUGUGAGAGGAGGCCAGAAACACCCUAUGGCGAGAGAGGCCAGAGAUGAGAUGGCACUGCAUCUGGGGGCCCAGCUACAGCUGGAGGAGACUGGCUUCACUCCACACCCUCGAUGGGGAAACUGAGGAGUGUCUGCUGGGCAUCCUGAGGGUAUCCUGUGGGCAUCCUGGGGGCAUCCACAGGCAGCCUGAUGUCAGAGCAGCCCGGCUCUCUGCUACCAUACAUACCACCUGUUGCUCAGCACCUAUGGGGCGGGUCAAAGAGGGGCUUGUGUGUAAAGUGACAUGGCGUCCACCAAUGCUAUUGCCCUCUGGCUUUGCUAGAAACCAAAUCAAAUACUGAGGAGACAGAGCUAGAGAUUCAGGUUGGAAAGGAUUUUUUAAUGUUUGCUUUUUAAAUGAUAGGGCUUCCCUGAAGGCUCGGCUGGUAAAGAAUCCGCCUGCAAUGCGGAAGACCUGGGUUCAAUCCCUGGGUUGGGAAGAUCCCCUGAAGGAGCGCAUGGCAAUCCACUCCAGUAUUCUUGCCUGGAGAACCCCCACGGACAGAAGAGCCUGGAGGGCUACAGUCCAUGGGGUCGCAAAGAGUCGGACACAACUGAGUGACUAAGCACCGUACUGCACAUGGAAUAUUCACACAAUGCAACAUCACACAAAUAGUAAAUCCAAAGAUUUCUCACGAGAAUCCACAAUGACACGGAGAGACAUCCACAACAUUCCAAGGUGGAAAGAAAAAUAAAGCCAGUUCUCAAAAUAUGAAAUUCCCACAACAACUGAUAUUGGAAUGCGAUUGCUUGGAAGAAUGCCUGGAAGGCUCUAUACAGUUAUUAACACCAGUAGGUAUGGCUGGACAGUAGGAUUGCACAGGGUUAUUAUUUUUUCCUUUUUGAUCAGCUGUAUUUUCUAAUUUUUUUUUUCUAGAAGCAACAGGCCUUUCUUUUGUAAUUUAAAAAUAAUCACAAAUGCAAGAUGAAUAGUGACUUAGGCUUACUAGUUUAAAAAAAAAAAGACUGAGUUUUAUUCUGUCACAUUCAUUUAUUCAUUCAAUAAAUAUUCACUUACAUACUAGGUGCUUCUGUUCAGCAGCAAGUUCAACCAGUCCAGAACAUCAUUAUGAAGGGGAAGAUGGUGGGAGGCUCCGGGUAACGGGCCUCAGAAGACAGGUGGGGGCCAGCCUCGUGCUAUAAAGGACACGAGGCCUUCCUUGUGACGGCCCAGCAAACCUGCACUUCUUCCUCCACAGUUACGUACCUCCAUGUCAACCAAGGGAAUCAGACCUCCCUCCUGAAUGACUCGUUGAGAGGGAGACACGGGAGCUCAUACCACAUGGGAAAGGACCAAGAACAAACCUCUGUUGAGGAUCUGUCACCAUGCUGGAGGCUUCCAAGCCACCCAGUGAGUCCUCCCAAUUACCUUGCAUCUCCAUUUCGGCAGAUGAGGACAGAGAGGCUCAGAAAAGUAAAGUUGCUUAUCCAAGGAGACCAGACUGUCAGAGAAUGAGCUGGGAUUUGAAGCCAGCUCCUACCCACUGAGAUGCCAUUACCCUUCUACUUCAGGACCCGCAGCCUCCCCCCACCUCCUUCACCAUCAUCAGCAUUCUGGACACCAAGUUCUGGCACCCUGCUAAGGGUAUUGUCUCAGAUAUCAGUGAUCUCAUUUACUCUUCCUCUGAGGUAGAGGCAGGAGGUAGAUGAUGUAUUUACCAAUGAGGAAUCCCAGGCUCAGACAGGUCACUACCUGCCCCAUCACAUAGCACUGGAGUAGUGGAGCUGAGAUUCGGAAUCUGUGCCUAGAAAAUUCUACGAACAGAGGAGCCUGGCAGGUUAGAGUCCAUGGGGUCCCAAAGAGUCAGACAUGACUGAACACGCGCGCAUGCAGCCCUGCUGGGCUCCAGAGCUCUGGCCUUAAACACCUGCACGCCCCACUCUCCUCCUAUCCUAGGUUAGACUCCUGUGAACAGUGUGGAACACCUUGGGGAUAGCACUAGUGAACAUAAACAAAUGCCAGGUC
ensembl:lincRNA